UGAGAUCUUAUGUCCAUCAAAUGCUGUGGAAACUGAACUAGAUCAUUUGAAAGAGGAAGUCUCACAUCAGAAGGAUAAAACAUUCUUGAAUCUAAGAAAGUUGUUCAAUGAACCAAAGUUAAGAGUUGGUUUGUUUCUUGUAUGUUUCCUGCAAGUCGCUCAACAGUUGUCUGGAAUUAACACAGUAACUGCUUACUCAGGUUUUAUAUAUCAAGGUUCAGGUGUAGAAAUAGAACUUAUCCAUUGGAUGGUUUUUGGAACAACACUGAUAAAUUUCAUCAUGACCACGUUUUCGUUGACUGUUAUGCAGAACUAUGGAAGGAGAUCAGUUAUGAUAGAAAGUACAAAAUUUAUGGGAGUAGCAUUUGCUGUACUAUUCAUUUCCAGUAAUCUAUGUCAGAGUUUUCAAAACCUUUGUCCAUACAUUGCAAUUGUAUCAGUUUUUGUUUACAUUGUCUGCUAUUCCUUAGGAUUAGGGCCAAUCCCAUAUAUAGUUGUUCAAGAGUUCUUCGACCAUGAUGCGCAGGGUGCUGCUUUUAAUGCAUCAGUUGCAUUUCAUUGGAUUUGUAACUGUCUAGUGAUAUUUGUUUUCAGAAUGUUACAGAUGUCAAUGGGUAGUUAUGUGUACCUUAUGUUCAGUGUAAUUACAUUUGUUCUUUGUUUGAUGAUGUUCAAAAUUUUGCCAGAAACAAGAGACAUGGAUAUAGCUGCUAUUACUAAUUCUAGUGAAUACAAAUAUGCUAAACGUCUUUUAUGUAGAAGUCCUAGUCAGAAAGAAAAAGGAGAAACAGACCCUUUAAAGUCAUAGCUUACAUUUCAGUUUAGUAAGAUAAUAUAUAUUUAUUUUGUUUAAGUUUCUAGUCUUACAAAUUUGAAUGCAUAAUUGUUUUUAUCACAAUUUACAAUUUAUAUAUGACAAUUAUUUUUAAAUUACAAAGUUUUAUGACAUAUCAGUAAUAUAUAUACAUUUGUACAAAUUUAUGUUUGUAAAUAUUAACAAUGUAAUCCUGUUCUUCAGUUCUAAAGGUACUUCACAAAAAACUUAACUUAUAAUUUCUUAUAUUUUGUAAAUUUCUAUGGUAUUUUAGGAAGUGGGUAUGUGAAUCUUUAGCAAUUAAUAUUUUGCAAAAAAAUGUGGUACAACUAAUAAAUGGGAUAAAGAUAGAUCAUCAAUAUAAACCAGCCAAAGCAAACAUUGAUAACUUAUUGUAACUUCACGUUUCACAAUUGGAUGUUUCCAAUUUAACUGCACCAGAUGCAAAUUUUUAGAUUUAAUGUCUUUUCAACUGGUACAGUGAUGUUCAAAACCAAAAUACUAUUCAAAAUAAUUUUAAAAGCUUUGAUUUUCAAAUAUUUUGGCCUCAAGCAUUACUGAGGAGACAUUUAUUAUCCAAAUGCACAUCUGUUGAAGUCAAACUGGUACAGUUAAUGUUGUUGAUAGUGUGUAUUUUUGUGUAAAAGGUAGUUGUUUUUUUUAUUCUGGUUGUCAGCCUAUUUGACAUAAUUUUGAUACUAGUAGUUUCUGUAUUAUUUUUUCAUAGUUUUUUUAAUCUUUACAUAUUUUAUAAUUUUUAUUUCUGUCUUCUUGUUCAUUUACUUAUACCCUCAUACCUUCCAUCAUGUAAAAUUAAUCAAAAUUAUUUGUUUUCAUUUUAUGAAUUUAAAGCUUAAAUGUAUAUAUGAGUUAUGAUUUAAUGUUGAAUCAUUAGAAUACAAUUUUAAAUGUUGAUUUUUUAUUUGUGUUGAUGAGAGAAUAUGCUAAUGGUAGAAUUUAAUCAUGAGCACAAGUUUAUGAUUCUCUGUUAUUGUAAAUAUUGUCUCCUGAUAUACAUAAUAAUGAUCAAAACUUAAUUUAUACCUUGUUAAUUGAGUAUUCAAGUGUUCUGCUUACUGAAUUUCAUAAAGGUUAUAUUAAAUAUUUAGCUUUAACGAAAUAAAAAAAUGAAUUAAUAGGUACACCAAAGUCAUGUUUAAAACUUAAAAUUAAUUUGUAAUGUGUACAUGACGUAUUGAAUUCAAAGCAGAAAUGUCAGUUUGUAAUGUGUUUGGCUGGUAGGUUUUGGUAAAAUUAAAUAACUUUUAUACAAAAGGAUAUUUGAUUCAAAUAAACAUCUUUCUUUACCUGAUAUGAAAACAUGUUGCAAAAUAUUUAUUAACAUGAUCAAGGUAAGGAUAGAAAAUAUUAAUGGAUAGAUCUCAAUAGUUAAAGCAAUGAUCCUAGUCAUUACAGUUUUACCUCAAGGGAAAAGGUUUUGAAGUCCAAAAGCAAAUAUGUAAGGCGAAAUUCAAAUUGUUAUUACUUAAAUGACAGGGAAGUUCCUUGUGAACACUCAAAGGAUUUUACUUGGAAGAUUUAAAAUUCUUCAUGACUGAUUUCAAGUGACCUGAUCAUUCUUUACUUUUCCUUAUCUUUUUUUCCCUUAUUUUCUUGCCUUGAUAAACAAGAACUAGGCAUGUUGUUUUCAUGCGUCAACUCAGGAGUCAAAACUGGACCAAAUCACUACUCAAACUUAAAAUUCAUGCCAAUUUUUUUAACAUGUAAUUUCUUCCCCCUACUUGAUAUUUUAUGCAUAAAAUAUAAAGAAAUAAAUCUGGAAGGUGUAUGAAAAAAAAUUGCAAGUUAUACACUGUCCACAGAAAAAAUCAAUAGAAUUAAAAAUGGAGACUAUUCAGCCAAGCCUACUCAGUCAUAGUUCAUUGACCUUUAAACUUUUGCAUUAUUUACUUGUUGAAAUUUGUGAUCAUGUGUGACAAUAUGAUGGGCUUAAAAUAUAUAUAUAUAUUUAUAUAUAUAUAUAUUUAUAUUUAUAUUUAUGAUUAUAUAUUCUCAAAAUGUUUAUUAAAUUGAAUAAAAUAAAUACAGGGGAAUAUCUAUUAAGAAAAUCAUGCCCUUGGGAAAGGUUGUUUUAAUUGACCACUACGUUGCAUAUAACUUUAAAAACAUGUUUACAUGCAGACCAGAUGGUGACAUGUUGUAAUAACAAUUAGUUAAAAGACUGGACAUACGUGUAUUCUACAACUAUUAAUUUCCAGCUUGGUCAAAACAUGUCAAUUAGAGUCAACUUAAUAGAUAUUCACCCAUGUACCUUUAGAAUUAAAACUAUUAUUGUCAAAUUAAUAGAAACUUUGACAAACUGUUAUAUUCUGUAUAUAUACUUAUGUAUUUACUGUAUGGGACACAUCGGCUCAUUUGGCGUAAAUAAACUGUUAACUAACUA